rnacentral:tRNA from 1 species
CGCAGAGUAGAGAAGCGGCCAUCUCGUCACGCUCAUAACGUGAAAAUCGCAAGUUCGAAUCUUGCCUCUGCAACCA